GUUUUAAUUAUAUAUUUAAAUAUCAAUUUGUGUAGUCAAAAAAUUGUGUAGCGAUAGGCCUUUACCAUUACGAUAUGGCCAUUAUAGGCCUGCUUUCACGCCCAACACUACCACAAUUUAAAUCCAUGAUUAGUGCAAAGAUAGUUUAAACCUUCUGUAUCAUAAGGAUUUAAUAUAUGCUAGGUGGUUAUUACUAGGCUAAUAAUUUGGCAACUAAAAAGAUGAGAUCAGAGCAAUCCCAGAAUACCUUUCAAAGCCUUCCAGUAGUGUUAUGAUAAUAAAACAUAGCACAAAAGUUACCAUACCAUUGCAGUAAUCCUGAAGAUUAG
rnacentral:misc_RNA from 1 species